rnacentral:rRNA from 1 species
UACGGAGGGAGCUAGCGUUGUUCGGAAAUUACUGGGCGUAAAGCGCACGUAGGCGGCUUUGUAAGUUAGAGGUGAAAGCCCGGGGCUCAACCCCCGGAAUUGCCUUUAAGACUGCAUCGCUUGAAUCCGGGAGAGGUGAGUGGAAUUCCGAGUGUAGAGGUGAAAUUCGUAGAUAUUCGGAAGAACACCAGUGGCGAAGGCGGCUCACUGGACUGGUAUUGACGCUGAGGUGCGAAAGCGUGG